UGUUUCUCAGAAAAGAACAUUUUACUUUCACUUUCACUUUCACUUUCAUUCAGUUCAUCUAGGAUCAUAUAGGACAUGAUUAGGGUUUUAAAUGGUUUACCUACUAAAGAUAACUUAAAAUAUUGGUAAAUUCACAAACAUAAAUGCAAACUGGCCAGGUAGCAGUCAUGAUUCCCACAUAUUCCGGACUUCAGAGGUGUGUACCUACAUGGAAGAAAAUGGUGGAUGAGCAAAUGGUGUAUUACUUGUGGAUAGUGGUUAUCCAUGUCGACCAUUUCUGAUGACGCCAUAUCUGAAUCCUAUACUAGAUCAUCAAAAAAGUACAACAAAUGCCACUGUUCAACCAGAAGUGUAAUAGAGAGAACAUUUGGGAGGCUGAAGAGACGGUUCCAUAUAUUACACUCAGAGAUAAGAAUGAAACCGGGCAAGGCAUGCAAAAUAAUAGUUGCUUGUGCUAUACUCCACAAUAUAUGCAUUUUGUUGAAUGAACCAGACAUUGAAGAUAGUGGAGUAAUUGUAGGCAAUAAUGGUGAUUGGGAAACAUUUGAAUGGUCAUCAAGAUGGAAGAGCUGUUAGAGAUCAUAUUUCCACAACAUUUUUUAAUCAUUGAAAAUCAGAAAUAAAUCAUGACAACAUUUGUUAAU